CUCCUUUCCUCUUCUCUCUCAUCAGCAUCUCCUUCCCCACUUUUUCCCUCCUCAGCCACAUCUAAUCCAUCAGGUAUCCACUCCUUGUGGAGUUCUUUCCCACAUGGACUCUGGGCUGGGCCGAUUACUGCUUGAACCAUCAGACAAUGACAAAAAUGAUGCAGUGCCAGUUGUAGGCCUAGCCCUUAACUGCUUGGGCAGCAUCCUCUUCUUCCAUUUGGAACCCAGAUACCACAAGGCAACCUAAGCCGCCACUGGGUCCCAGCUGAUCUCCCCAACCAAGCCUCAGAGGACGACAGCCAUCCCAGCAUCCAGAUGAUACCACAAAAAAACAGAACCUCCUGGACAACUCCAUUCCCCCCAAGUUUAUGAGACAAUAUGGCUCAAGAGACAGCUACUAUAGAAACAAGUUAUAUUUAUCUACCCAGUUCCUCAACCCACGGGUUCACAGCACUACAAGGAGAUCUCUCGGAGAGCCAACAGCAGGAACAGUAGCUGGAUGUGGCCAAAUACACUUAAAAGCCACUGAUGAAUCCAGUGUUUAUUCACCUAGAAUGGUUUACUGCACUGCAUGUCAAUAAGUACUUCAAAGAAACUGGACACAGAAAGGAAAAAUCACAACUCAGGGUUAUGAGGAGCAAGUGAGGUCACACACACCAAGUUAUGAACAAGGCAGCAGCAGUCAACACUGCUGCCCUACUCCUCCAGCAGUGAGGAGGCAGUCGGUUUCAUUCGCGCCUGGAUUUCCAAAGCUGUCUAAGUGGAUUUGCUAAGUGAUGGGACUUAACACAAGAACUGAUUCAAGAACUACAAGAAGACUGUAGGCGAUCAACUCCCAUGUUCGGAUGCUCCAUCUCAGGCCACAGUGUUUGGCAGAAGUCAGUGAUUUUUCAGAAUGUUGGAAGGUGCCCACAACUGGCACUAGUGUAUUUUUUGUCACUUCAAAGCACCGAUGGACAGUCCUUUGCUUUUCCACACAAGAGUAAGCUUCGAACGCUUUGCUUCAUUCUAGGUCAGGCUGCCUGCAGAUAGACCCUUUCCUCAGCUGCCUUAUUGCCAGUUGCAUUAAAUAUAGUAUAUGACAAGA